rnacentral:misc_RNA from 1 species
GAAAUGCGAUAAGUAGUGUGAAUUGCAGAAUUCAGUGAAUCAUCGAAUCUUUGAACGCACAUUGCGCCCCUCGGUAUUCCGUGGGGCAUGCCUGUUCGAGCGUCAUCUACACCCUCAAGCUCUGCUUGGUGUUGGGCGUCUGUCCCGCCUUCGCGCGUGGACUCGCCCCAAAUGCAUUGGCAGCGGUCCUUGCCCCCUCCCGCGCAGCACAUUGCGCUUCUCGAGGCUGCGGCGCCCGCCGACGCAUUUAUUUGCAACUUGUUUUUUUCCAGGUUGACCUCGGAUCAGGUAGGGAUACCCGCUGAACUUAAGC